rnacentral:rRNA from 1 species
AUUGAACGCUGGCGGCAGGCCUAACACAUGCAAGUCGAGCGGAUGAAGGGAGCUUGCUCCUGAAUUCAGCGGCGGACGGGUGAGUAAUGCCUAGGAAUCUGCCUGGUAGUGGGGGAUAACGUCCGGAAACGGGCGCUAAUACCGCAUACGUCCUGAGGGAGAAAGUGGGGGAUCUUCGGACCUCACGCUAUCAGAUGAGCCUAGGUCGGAUUAGCUAGUUGGUGGGGUAAAGGCCUACCAAGGCGACGAUCCGUAACUGGUCUGAGAGGAUGAUCAGUCACACUGGAACUGGGACACGGUCCAGACUCCUACGGGAGGCAGCAGUGGGGAAUAUUGGACAAUGGGCGAAAGCCUGAUCCAGCCAUGCCGCGUGUGUGAAGAAGGUCUUCGGAUUGUAAAGCACUUUAAGUUGGGAGGAAGGGCAGUAAGUUAAUACCUUGCUGUUUUGACGUUACCAACAGAAUAAGCACCGGCUAACUUCGUG